rnacentral:rRNA from 1 species
GAGGUGGCAAGCGUUGUCCGGGAAUUAUUGGGGCGUAAAGCGCGCGCAGGCGGUCCUUUAAGUCUGGAUGUGAAAGCCCACGGGCUCAACCGUGGGAGGGUCAUUGGAAACUGGGGGACUUGAGUGCAGAAGAGGAGAGUGGAAUUCCACGUGUAGCGGUGAAAUGCGUAGAGAUGUGGAGGAACACCAGUGGCGAAGGCGACUCUCUGGUCUGUAACUGACGCUGAGGCGCGAAAGCGUGGGGAGCGAACAGGAUUAGAUACCCUGGUAGUCCACGCCGUAAACGAUGAGUGCUAAGUGUUAGAGGGUUUCCGCCCUUUAGUGCUGCAGCUAACGCAUUAAGCACUCCGCCUGGGGAGUACGGUCGCAAGACUG